GGGCCAGAGUUCCAGGGGCUCUGGAAGUGGCUGCCAGACCUGGCCCAGCCUCAGGCAGAUGGGAUGGGAACCAGGAUCCCUGGGAGACUCCCAGGCCCCCUCGACCUAUGAACAAUGGCAGCUGAGCUCCAGCCGCCUCGUCCCCACCCUGGCCCCACCUCUGCCCUGGUAUAAGCCCACCGGGCCUGCAGCACCUGCAGCCACCAUGGGGAUGCUGUGGCUUCUGCUGGUGGUCCUACAGAAACAAGUGACUUGGAGCAACGAGAUCAGAGGUGAGGACGGAUGUGCUCCCUAACCUGGAGAGAGGACAGGGCCAUGGGGACAGGCAGGGAGGGCUCUAGGGGUCUGAGGAGUGUGGCCCCACCCCAGAGUCCCUCAGGGGACCUGGAGCUUUCACUUGGGGACUGAGGGGACACAGCCCUGACUUGGGGCUCUGAGGAUAGCCUCAGUGGCCUAGUGUCCCCAGCCUCGCUCCUGUACCCCUACGGGCUGGAGCAUGGGGAUCAGGUUCUCCCUGCAGAGGACGAUGACUUCUCCGAGGAGCUGCGGCUGCUGGAUCCCUUCAUGCUCUUCGAGGCCACACACAGGACGGCCUAUGUGAGUGCCCUGGCCCUGACCGUGCGG